AUUGAACGCUGGCGGCAGGCCUAACACAUGCAAGUCGAGCGGAGCGGCGGACGGGUGAGUAAUGCCUAGGAAUCUGCCUGGUCGUGGGGGAUAACGUCCGGAAACGGGCGCUAAUACCGCAUACUAUCAGAUGAGCCUAGGUCGGAUUAGCUAGUUGGUGGGUUAAAGACCUACCAAGGCGACGAACCGUAACUGGUCUGCGAGGCUGAUCAGUCACAGUGGAACUGAGAAACGGUCCAGACUCCGACGGGAGUCAGCAGUGGGGAUUAUUGGACAAUGGGCGAAAGCCUGAUCCAGCCCUGCCGGGUGUGUGAAGAAGGUCUUCGGAUUGUAAAGCACUUUAAGUUGUGAGGGGUUACCAACAGAAUAAGCACCGGCUAACUUCGUGCCAGCAGCCGCGGUAAUAC
rnacentral:rRNA from 1 species